GUGCUGUUGCCCCAACAGCAGAGACCGCCCCAACCAAAGACAGGUCAGUUUAAAUGUUCCUUGUCCUUCUCCCAGAGCUUCAGUGGGGUUGGCUGGCUUGCAGAGCGAAUUAAUUAAGGAGAACAACGGCCUCAGCCUGGUGCGUGCAAGAAGCCUGCUGGCAGGUUAAAAAAGCAAAACAUAAGAUGUGGCUCCCCAGCACUGUAAAAGGCACUUCUGCAAGUGAACAGGUUGGAUCCUAACAAAGUUCGAAGUCAUGGCCUGGAAGAUGAAGAAAGAAAUGAAUGGAGGCUGCAGCAGUUUCUUCAGACAGAUCUAUGCUUUCUGUGACUUUCCUAUCACAGGUCCUGAGCCCCAGCACUACACAUUCAGAUUCAACAAGUCCGGAGUAGGGCUCUAGAGCUUGCACACUUCCCGGCUCCUAGAAGAUUCUAAGAUGGGAGGCUCGUGAGCCACACCCAGAGAAACACCAUCCUGUGACCAGAGAACAGGUUAGGAUACUGAACAUCCCCUCAUCUGCAGACCAAGAAAAACUGAGUUCUUGGCUAGCAUGGAGCCUAACUUGUGUUUUAGUUAAUUCUACUUCUGUCACUGGAGGUUGGAUUAAACAGUAAGAGAACGACUUCCAUACAACCAAAGGUGAACAUAAGGUAUAAAAAACCUGCAGAUAGAAGUAGAUUCCCAAGGAGGGAAAUGCUGAAACCCAGCAAAGGAGAUGACUGCAGUUCCUGACCUGAGACUCCGUCCUAUUUCCCUUAUGACAUUACCCAGUGGUGCUUUUCCUGUUCCUAGAAAGAAAACCAACAGGGUGCAGCCUUCGGUGGGUGGGGGUCUAUGUGUGCACAAGUGCACACAGUGAUUUUUAUAUAAAAAGGCUCACCACAGGACAGCCACCAGCAGGAUGAUGCCCAGAGCACCGGCAUUCUUACCAUAGCUAAAGAAAACCCUGAGUAUUUGGCCUCUGCAACCAGGGAACAAAGGGAGUUUUGAGAUGGCUGUGCGUAAAGGAGCUGGAAGUCAUUCCAGCAUUUAGAGCUUCAAUUGAAAAUAAACAAACAGCCCAAGCCUUCCCCAGGACCCAGUCUGCCAAGCACCAGCCUGGGAGUGCACACUGGCCACUGGGGCCAGCACAUGGCUAUUUAUAUUCAUAAUCCAAUUUGGACGGGGAAGGCGCAUGAAAAUAAAUUGAUUAUCUUGAAACUGUAAGAGCAAAAUUCAUCAGGACAAAAAAGUAAUGAAAUAAUAUAGAGGAAGUACCUGAGUAGGUCAUCUGAGGGGAUGUUUCUCGUGAACUGUCUCCAACCCAGUUUGCUUUCUGGAUUCAGACACGAGAAAACUGGCUGACAAAGUUCCAGAAAUCACAUGCCAACAUGUGGAUAGAGCUUUGCUGAGUAUUUUUCCCCUUUUCUGGGUGUGUGUGUGUGAGUGUGUGUGUGUAUGUGUGUGUAUAUAUAUAUAGUUGUGUGUGUGUAUAGAUUGUUUGACAGAGGGUUGAUUAUCUCAACUCAGUUUCUAGCUGGUGAGGAAGAAAAGUGGACAGUUCAUAAAAAACAACCAUCUUUCCCAAAUCUGAGGGUCAAACACAAGGGUACAUUAUCUUGGAAACACUGGCUUUCUAUCUUAGGUCUUGCCCAUCCUCUUUUCCCUAGAGGCUAGAUUCAACUCUGCCUUCCCACAGGAACAAUAGCAACCAUUUAUGACGCGUGUGGGAUAUGUCACCGGCUGGAGAUGCACAGUCAGGAAUAACCUGGGAUGGGGACUCUCGGCCUAUUUUAAAGAUAAGGAAAUGGAGGAUCAGAAUCGAAGUGACUAACCCAACACCACCUCGCUAAUCAAGUGGGGACUUGGGAUUAGAACCCAAGUCUGUCUGGGGUUUGUGUUGUGACACCAUACUGCCUCCCUGAAAAAACCUAAGGACAGUCUCUAAAAUCAACAUUCAUUCCCAGGAAAUGGGCACUUGCUGGGGUCAAGUCGGAAGAUGGGCCUGGACGAGAGGAGGCUUGGUAAAGCACUGAUAGCUUGGAGUUGAGAAAGUAUCCCUUUCUUAGCUCAGCUCCGAAGAGUUUACAAGACAGACUUAAGGAGAAACACUUUCACGGACUGCAUCUAUGAAGGCUGGCCCUUAAUUUGAGCUUUCUUCUCUCUGUAGAUGAAUUAUUUAAAAAUAAAAUAAUUUUGAUAAAACUCAUAACCAAAAACGAGGCUCAAACCUCACCUCCAUUUAUUAUCUAUUGGUCCUGAGAAAGGAUGUAACCUGUCUAGGAUUCAGGUAAUUUGUUUUUCAAGUGAGUAGACUGAAGAGGGAUGGAUGAGGCAGGACCCUGGACCAGGGUGGCUUCUGUGGUCCCCUCUAGCAAUGAAAUUGAUGAUUCUAAUAACUAACAGAAG
rnacentral:lncRNA from 1 species